rnacentral:rRNA from 1 species
GACGAACGCUGGCGGCGUGCUUAACACAUGCAAGUCGAACGGAAAGGCCCUGCUUUUGUGGGGUGCUCGAGUGGCGAGCGGGUGAGUAACACGUGAGUAACCUGCCCUUGACUUUGGGAUAACUUCAGGAAACUGGGGCUAAUACCGGAUAGGAGCUCCUGCUGCAUGGUGGGGGUUGGAAAGUUUCGGCGGUUGGGGAUGGACUCGCGGCUUAUCAGCUUGUUGGUGGGGUAGUGGCUUACCAAGGCUUUGACGGGUAGCCGGCCUGAGAGGGUGACCGGCCACAUUGGGACUGAGAUACGGCCCAGACUCCUACGGGAGGCAGCAGUGGGGAAUAUUGCACAAUGGGCGGAAGCCUGAUGCAGCAACGCCGCGUGCGGGAUGACGGCCUUCGGGUUGUAAACCGCUUUCGCCUGUGACGAAGCGUGAGUGACGGUAAUGGGUAAAGAAGCACCGGCUAACUACG